AGGAAGCGCCGCAGCCGCCCCGGCGCUUCCCGCUCGGCGCUCGCCUGUGGCAGACGUGUUUACUGGCUACACGGGAAGAAAAUAAGCUCCAGGAAGGGCUACGUCGCGUUUGCUGCUUCUGGAGAGUUCAUUCCACCCCUGGGAACUGCUCAGAGCUCGCAGGAGGGGCCGGGCUGCUCCGUAGGGAAUUCAGGCGCUUUCCCUCGCGGCGCGUGUGGGAGCGCUGAGCUCAGCUGGGACGGCAGCAUGGGAGAUAGCUGGGAAACCCUGGGGAGCUCGGGUCACAGAUGGCAGCGGCCGCGUGUUACCAUUCCAGACUGCGCUCCGUGACCAGCUGACAAAUUGAAACAAGUUGUGAGAACCUCUCUGCGAAUGUAGGAAGGCUGUUUGUUAACCGUACUUGUGACUACAAAGGAGCAUGAACCAGAUUGUUUUGUUGUUCUUAUAUUUUUUAACGGGUGCUACUGACCUCCUACUCGAGUGAAGUCAAUAUCCCUCAUGGAAAAAAAAUCCAUAGAGUUGCAUAGGGUGAUCUGUGGGAUGCUUCUGUGGGAGUGAUGUAAACAAACUAACACAGAGUAUUAUAUGGAAAAUAAAAUAUGGAGUAACUUAAGCCCUGCAGCAACAGGUGGCAGAGCUGAGGAGAAGAGAGUGCAAGUCCCGGCUCUCUGUCCUGCACCUCUGUCAUAGUGCAAUCUUUAUCUGUUAGGGGUAGGGCUUUGUCUCACCAAAACAGUGGCUAAACGUGUAGCGAAGCAGGAGGAUGCUCUGCUGGGUCAUGCAGCAUGGAGCAGUUGUGCCCUGGGGCCAUGGAGGCAGUGAAAAGUGGAAAAAGCCUCAGCAAAAAGCAGGCACCUACAGAACAUACACGAUAAUCAAAUCACAGUUCUUUCCCCCGUUAAAAAUUUUUCCUUCCUCCCAGAAAGUAUACCUGAAAGAAAAUGCUGCAGGGUACUGAAGCACUAAACCAGUGGCAAAGGAAAACAGAAUGAUACUGUGUAUCAUUAAAAAAAGUUAAUAUAGUCAAUUUAUGCAGGCAAAGUUGCCAAAAGGGGUAAGGCUUGCUUAAGAAUUUAAAGCACAACAGCAUGCUUGGCUACAAAAGUUUAAGGUCUUGGCCUUCCUCAUUGAAUCAAUAAACAUAAACUGAAAAUAGACAGAUUCUAAUAUAAAUUUAUACUGAGCAGUUGAGAUAAAACUUGAACGGAAUAAAUGAGAAGGCAUUGUUUGGAAAAAAGGCUUGGGAAAUGGUAUCAGGAUUUAUAAGGGAAAUGAAGAAAGACAUAUUGUCUGAGAUUUAGAAAGGAAAUCUCUUAAAAAAUGAAGCCUAGCAGAAAGAAAGAAAGGGAACCUGCUAAUACAACAAUACUUUGUUUUCAUGGAAAAAGUAGCAAUGAAAAAGUUUUGAGAAAGAAAGGGCUGGGGAAAAAAGUUAUAUCAAAAGAAAUGUUGAUGAUAAUGAUGGAAACAUCCUAUUAAAAAGAAAUUGAAGUGCUCCAGGUGACAAACAUUUUCAGAAAGUAAUAUUGGAGUAAGUGACUAGCUUAAGAGAAACAAACAAAAAGGACAUGGGGUAGUAUUUCUCAGAAAGAAGCUGAAAUACAGGAGAUAAAUUCCAUUAAUUUCCAUCACACAAAUUGUCACCAUCUGGAGAUCAACCUGACUAAUACACAAAAAGAGAGAGGUAGCUUACAGAAAAAUUGUGAAAAAGUAUUAGGAAUAGAGAGUGGGGAACAGAGCAUAAGCAGAUAGCUGAACUGCUACAGGCAUUUCUGCAGAUUUUUAUGUGAGAGGGAAGGAUGCCACACUGCUGUCCUAGGGAAUUGUGAGCUCAUUUUGCUAUGUGGAUGGCAGAUAAAACUAGAACCCCUAGAACUGAGAUUUCACUGUUUAUUUUCUUGGCACAUAAAGAUACUCUGGAGAAACCCGAGAAAUUCUUGAAUGUACAAUGGGCUGCACUUCCAGAAAAAGGACUAAGCAGGAAAACAGCUGAUAUAGGAUGAUGUAUCUGCCAUGACAGGGGGAUGUCAGAAGCAAGGCCAAUAAGUUAAGGAGGAUGACCCAAAACUCCCUUAUGGGGCAUUGGAAACCAAAGGUAUUUACGGAAAAUACAGAUUUUUAUAUACACCUGAAAGAAAGACAAAAGAUUGUGAGGUUAUUACCUGGGAAGUAUUACCAGCUAGAAGGGGCAACUGUGAUAAGGUUCAGCCAUUCAUGUACAGCAGCACAUACACAGCUAUGAGGUACAUUGUGUUACAGGAUGUCCUGCAGACCCGGAACAGCCUAAUAGCUAUCCUGUACCAAGCUGGGCUUUCUAGGCCAUGACAGACCAGCAUUUUAUGUAAAGAAAGGGGGUGACUAAUUUCUUCAUCUACCCAAAGGAAAUGUAGCACUUUUAAUGGGGUAUUUAACACUGUAACAGGAAAAAACCCCAAAAACCCAACAAAUCAAACCAUUAAUAAAAAGGAAGGAAAGCUUUUGUAGAAGGACAAAUGUAACAAUGUGGUGCAUUUAUGAGAAUAUAGACAGCUAAAGAAAAGGCAUUACAUAAAUAAAAUUAUAGAGAAAAAACAGAGUAAAAUUCCUGACCUUUCCAGGUCAACAAAGCAAUUCAGCCCCAUAUGCAAUCAGUCAUAAAUGAUGACAGUCAUUCUAACAAAAGAUGUCUUCCAUUAGGACACAUCCUGACAUAAACUUUACACUUAGGUCUGACCUUGGCUUCCUGAAUAUGGACCUAUUUGUUUUUACUCUUUUUAUGAAGUUCUUAAUACUUCCAUUGCAAUUAUUCCAUUUGCAUUUCAAAAAAUGUGCUGCAGAGCGGAAAACAGUAAUGUCAUUCCUAAUCAGUUCUGUCCCUACAAGUUUAGCAAAACAUAAGCGAGAACACAUGGAACCUAUGAAACCUGAGGAACCUAUGGAACUUAAGCUGAAAGACAGAUAAAGAUAUGCAGGAUCUUCCAAACAUUUCCUGUUUUUAUAUUAAUGGAUUAAUUAACCAAUAAUGGGAGGAAGAAAAGGAUCCACACAAAGCUUUCAACAUAUUAGCUGAAAUGUUGCACUUGUCUGACAUGUUGUGGCUAUAGUUCAAAUGAGAUAUUGGGACUGCAUGGUACUAUCAGUUCUGUCCUCUUCCUUGGUGCAUUAAGGUUUUAGCCAUUGUUUUUGGAAAACAACAGAACACAAAAGCCACAUGGUUACUUCAGAGAGGUGUUUUCCUUUAACGUUUCUAGAGUCAGGUGCAAGAGAAACCCUUGACUCUCUUCUGUAUGACUAGGUCCUGGUGGUAAACCUUCAUCAAAAACAUGGUAAAGUAAAAUAGCAGGAACUUUACCUGUCCUCCUGGUGAAGGUAAGGAGUUUUUUGUUAAGAGGUUUGAUUUCUGAAUGACAGGUAACUGUGUCAGGCAUGAGUUGGGGGAAUGUAAUACUUGGUGUUGAGAUAAAACUGCGGAAAUCCUGUUUGUAAAACUGGCCAGCUGAAGAUCAAAUGACAAAGAAAACGGAGUAAGUAAUAUACAUAGGAGGACUUUUAGAGGGUUCUGAGUCUCAAAAUCAUAAUUCAAGAGUAUUGGAGUGGAAAAUGUUGCAAAUAACUUUUAUGACUUUGGCAAAAAUAUGUCAUAUAACACCACUUUCCUAAUUUUGUUGGGAUAAUGACAGGUUAAUAAAAAAGUAAAAGGAGACUAUAAAUAAGUAAGUAAAUAAAUAAAUAAAUGAAUAAAAUUAACCAAGUAAAUAACUAAGUAUGGUAAAGUAAGGACCAACAUGUUAUGAAAUGGCAGAGUAGGUGUACAUCUGGAACUGGAAACUCAGACACUAUUUACUAUAUGUAUGCACAUUUUGUUCUCCUUUACUCUGGUCAGGUUAUAUGCAUUUAAGUUCAUUUAUAGUGAUGUUUAAAAAAAAAAAUUAAUUACUGGUCUUCACAGUAAGGAUGAAUGAGUUAUUAACUGUUCUGAGAUAUUAUAGGAGAUGUACUUAGGAUCCGGGAUCUGUCCAGUCCUCUGGGAUUUAGAUGGAGGAUCUCAUUAGGUUCAGAGUCACUGCAGUAAGUCCAGAAAUAUACAGAUGCUAAACAAAAUGCAAAAUCUUAAGUAUUGUUUGCAGUUAAUUAAAAUGCUAUUUUUGUUUGUUCUACCUCCCUCUGGCAUCUUCAAGUCCUAAUUAAUUCUUAGCUGUGGGUGGUGGGAUUAGGAUUGGCAGCAAAACACACCUCAAACAGCCCACCAGCACCAUAGGGCUGUACGUGCAGAAGUUCUGCCGAAGCAAAGAUCACAUUCUUGAGAAGUUAGAUAAAGGUUGCUAUUGUUCUUGCCGCCAAGAUUAUUUUUAUCGCAUUGUCAACAUAGUUGUUAAUGUACAAACAUGCAGGUGAGAUACAGAACACAUGAAACUCAUAAAAAAGGUGGAGAUGUUGUACGCACGUGCAAUUAGAGCACUGGAGAUGAGAUGUACAUAAAAAUGCUGAAGGGGAGCAUGUGUUCGCUUGACAGAUUAAGGAGCUGGCUGGCACUGCUCCUUGUGGUGAACUGCUCGGUGACAUUUAUGGCACUGAUAAAUAAAAUUAGUGAGCAAAUAUCAUUAAUUGAUGUAGUUCAAGGAGUGGCUGUUUGGCAUGUUUCUAUGGAGGUGGUAAUUCAAGUGCAUAACCAGAGCAACAGUGAGGGAUUUUGAGUUUUGUUGGUUUUUUUUUUUCUUUUUCUAUAAUGUUCCAGUUGUUUCAGAGUACAAUGAGAUUUUUUGGCUUAGAAGUACUGCUGUAAUUGGUUUCUGGGACUUUCUUGAUUUGACCUAAUUGGACAUUUUGAAAGGUUGCCAAAGUACGGGGUAGGAUUUUGCCAGUUUUCCAUCAAUGAUUAAUAAAGCUCAUUUGGAGGAUCAGUUAGAGUUUCAAAAAUAUUUUGCACCAGAAUUAUUAUAAAAGCAAUGAAUUCUCUUUUAUUAAUGGACAUUUUUGAUGUCGAAUGAUGAAAAACAGUGCUACAGUGAGCAGUAAAUGUACUUUUUUCGGAGAGGAUUACCUCCCUUCAGGUUAUUAUUAUAUUAUUUCAGGAAUUUUAUAAUCAGGGUGGGAAAGCACUUUAAUUCUGGUUUGUAGUGAUACUUUUGGCAAAAUUCAAAUUGUUGUUUUUAAAAAAUUAUUAGACUAUUAAAAAGUGGUUUAAACAGGUAAGAUUUCCUGAAAAAUUUAUUUCCUUUUCACAGUGCUUGAAGUUAAGAAGCAGCUUUCUAAAGGUCUUUAGAAAGAAUAAGUAACUGCUAACUGCUCUUGGUGUGUCUGAAGACCUAGUGAAUUUAAAGAAAUGAAGUGAUAUGUUUGGAGGAAGUAAGAGCAAGUAGUGUAUGCCAUCAUCAGUUUCUAAUCAUCCCAGCUCCUCCCCAAGUUCUUGUUUUCAUAAAGAUAAUUUAAAAACAA